AACGAACGCUGGCGGCAUGCCUAACACAUGCAAGUCGAACGAGGUCUUCGGGUCUAGUGGCGCACGGGUGCGUAACGCGUGGGAAUCUGCCCUUUGGUUCGGAAUAACAGUUGGAAACGACUGCUAAUACCGGAUGAUGACGAAAGUCCAAAGAUUUAUCGCCAGAGGAUGAGCCCGCGUAGGAUUAGCUAGUUGGUGUGGUAAAGGCGCACCAAGGCGACGAUCCUUAGCUGGUCUGAGAGGAUGAUCAGCCACACUGGGACUGAGACACGGCCCAGACUCCUACGGGAGGCAGCAGUGGGGAAUAUUGGACAAUGGGCGAAAGCCUGAUCCAGCAAUGCCGCGUGAGUGAUGAAGGCCUUAGGGUUGUAGAGCUCUUUUACCCGGGAUGAUAACGACAGUACCGGGAGAAUAAGCUCCGGCUAACUCCGUGCCAGCAGCCGCGGUAA
rnacentral:rRNA from 1 species